UGCAACCGGCUGCAGGAUUUUCGACCCUGGUCUCAGCUUUUCAUGAAGAAUCUAUUAAAGGCACUGGUGGCGUGAUGAACAUGAUGCACUGAGGCUUUUACGAGAAUCUUUAUCCCGUUGGGAAUCCUUAGAUCAAAUCAUUGAUCUUCUGCUCUAGUGGCACGCGUUUUAUUGACAG